rnacentral:rRNA from 1 species
UACGGAGGAUCCAAGCGUUAUCCGGAAUUACUGGGCGUAAAGAGUUGCGUAGGCGGCAGAGUAAGUAGGUAGUGAAAUGACGGGGCUCAACCCCGUGUCCAUUAUCUAAACUGCUCAGCUAGAGAAUGAGAGAGGUGGCUGGAAUUUCUAGUGUAGGAGUGAAAUCCGUAGAUAUUAGAAGGAACACCGAUGGCGUAGGCAGGCCACUGGCUCAUUUCUGACGCUCAGGCACGAAAGCGUGGGGAGCGACCGGG